rnacentral:rRNA from 1 species
AACGAACGCUGGCGGCAUGCCUAACACAUGCAAGUCGAACGAUACCUUCGGGUCUAGUGGCGCACGGGUGCGUAACGCGUGGGAACCUUCCCUUAGGGUCGGAAUAACUCCCCGAAAGGGGUGCUAAUACCGGAUAAUUUCUUCGGACCAAAGAUUUAUCGCCUUUGGAUGGGCCCGCGUUGGAUUAGCUAGUUGGUAGGGUAAAAGCCUACCAAGGCGACGAUCCAUAGCUGGUCUGAGAGGAUGAUCAGACACACUGGGACUGAGACACGGCCCAGACUCCUACGGGAGGAAGCAGUGGGGAAUAUUGGACAAUGGGCGAAAGCCUGAUCCAGCAAUGCCGCGUGAGUGAUGAAGGACUUAGGGUUGUAAAGCUCUUUUAAACGGGAUGAUAAUGACAGUACCGGGAGAAUAAGCUCCGGCUAACUCCGUG